UUGACAGUUUAUUAUCUUGUAGAUUUCUAAUUUUUUACUGACAUAUCCUUGUUAUAUAUUUGAAUGCAAUCAGAGGUUUUGAUGGUUGUCUUAAAUAAAAUUGCUAGAGACAAAUAUUUUUUGCCAGGUUUUAGGGAUUGCAUUAAACAAUCAGCCGGUGGUUUCCCGGUGGAAACCUAUCAGAAGGACAUUUACAGCUAACGGUUAUUUUAAUCACCAAUUAUAUUUGACCUUUUGCUUUGAAAUUUUUUACCGAACAUUGACCCAUAAAGCUUGAAAAUAAGAUUACGGUUGGAUGAACCCUGCCGCACAGACACAAAAACCUUACAAUCAUUCCAAUUGCAAAAUAUAGUUGACCUACUGAAUAUAGAUAUGAGUGUAACACCAAAAUGUACAGUAGAUCACUGAUCUAUUGAAUGAGUUCUAGAUGAACCCUGUCUGGCAG
rnacentral:lncRNA from 1 species